AUUAUACUCCCUUUGUCCCAAAUUAUUUGACUCUUUUUGGGAUGAAUGUGGUCUUAAAAGACCACAUUCAUCCCAAAAAGAGUCAGAUAAUUUGGGACAGAGGGAGUAUAUA
rfam:Corchorus olitorius cultivar O-4 contig21119, whole genome shotgun sequence.